rnacentral:rRNA from 1 species
AACGAACGCUGGCGGCAGGCUUAACACAUGCAAGUCGAGCGCAUCCUUCGGGGUGAGCGGCGGACGGAUGAGUAACGCGUGGGAACGUGCCCUCUUCUACGGAAUAGCCCAGGGAAACUUGGAUUAAUGCCGUAUACGCCCGCAAGGGGAAAGAUUUAUCGGAGGAGGAUCGGCCCGCGUUGGAUUAGGUAGUUGGUGGGGUAAUGGCCUACCAAGCCGACGAUCCAUAGCUGGUUUGAGAGGAUGAUCAGCCACACUGGGACUGAGACACGGCCCAGACUCCUACGGGAGGCAGCAGUGGGGAAUCUUGGACAAUGGGGGCAACCCUGAUCCAGCCAUGCCGCGUGAUCGAUGAAGGCCUUAGGGUUGUAAAGAUCUUUCAGCUGGGAAGAUAAUGACGGUACCAGCAGAAGAAGCCCCGGCUAACUCCGUGCCAGCCGCCGCCGUAACAC